AGGUUAAGUUAAUAAGGGCGCACGGUGGAUGCCUUGGCACUAGGAGCCGACGAAGGACGUGACAAACGACGAUAUGCCUUGGGUAGCUGUAAGUAAGCGAUGAUCCAGGGAUUUCCGAAUGGGGGAACCCAACAGGUAAUACCUGUUACCUACAUCUGUUAAGGAUGUGAGGAGGAAGACGCAGUGAACUGAAACAUCUAAGUAGCUGCAGGAAGAGAAAGCAAAAGCGAUUGCCUUAGUAGCGGCGAGCGAAACGGCAGAAGGGCAAACCGAAGAGUUUACUCUUCGGGGUUGUAGGACUGCAAUGUGGACUCAAAGAUUAUAGAAGAAUGAUUUGGGAAGAUCAGCCAAAGAGAGUAAUAGCCUCGUAUUUAAAAUAGUCUUUGUACUUAGCAGUAUCCUGAGUACGGCGGGACACGUGAAAUCCCGUCGGAAUCUGGGAGGACCAUCUCCCAACCCUAAAUACUCCCUAGUGACCGAUAGUGAACCAGUACCGUGAGGGAAAGGUGAAAAGCACCCCGGGAGGGGAGUGAAAUAGAACCUGAAACCGUGUGCCUACAACAAGUUCGAGCCCGUUAAUGGGUGAGAGCGUGCCUUUUGUAGAAUGAACCGGCGAGUUACGUUAUGAUGCGAGGUUAAGUUGAAGAGACGGAGCCGUAGGGAAACCGAGUCUGAAUAGGGCGCCUUAGUAUCAUGACGUAGACCCGAAACCAUGUGACCUACCCAUGAGCAGGUUGAAGGUGCGGUAAGACGCACUGGAGGACCGAACCAGGGCACGUUGAAAAGUGCUUGGAUGACUUGUGGGUAGCGGAGAAAUUCCAAACGAACUUGGAGAUAGCUGGUUCUCUCCGAAAUAGCUUUAGGGCUAGCGUCGACAUUAGAGAUUCUUGGAGGUAGAGCACUGUUUGGGUGAGGGGUCCAUCCCGGAUUACCAAUCUCAGAUAAACUCCGAAUGCCAAUGAAUUAUGGUCGGCAGUCAGACUGCGAGUGCUAAGAUCCGUAGUCGAAAGGGAAACAGCCCAGACCACCAGCUAAGGUCCCAAAAUAAUUGUUAAGUGGAAAAGGAUGUGGGGUUGCACAGACAACUAGGAUGUUAGCUUAGAAGCAGCUAUUCAUUCAAAGAGUGCGUAAUAGCUCACUAGUCGAGUGACCCUGCGCCGAAAAUGUACCGGGGCUAAAACAAUUUACCGAAGCUGUGGAUACCUUUAUAGGUAUGGUAGGAGAGCGUUCUAUGUGUGAUGAAGGUAUACCGUGAGGAGUGCUGGAACGCAUAGAAGUGAGAAUGCCGGUAUGAGUAGCGAAAGACAGGUGAGAAUCCUGUCCACCGUAAGACUAAGGUUUCCAGGGGAAGGCUCGUCCGCCCUGGGUUAGUCGGGACCUAAGGAGAGACCGAAAGGUGUAUCCGAUGGACAACAGGUUGAUAUUCCUGUACUAGAGUAUGUAGUGAUGGAGGGACGCAGUAGGCUAACUAAAGCAGACGAUUGGAAGAGUCUGUCUAAGCAGUGAGGUGUGAAUUGAGUCAAAUGCUUAAUUCUAUAACAUUGAGCUGUGAUGGGGAGCGAAGUUUAGUAGCGAAGUUAGUGACGUCACACUGCCAAGAAAAGCUUCUAGCGUUUAAACAUACUCUACCCGUACCGCAAACCGACACAGGUAGUCGAGGCGAGUAGCCUCAGGUGAGCGAGAGAACUCUCGUUAAGGAACUCGGCAAAAUGACCCCGUAACUUCGGGAGAAGGGGUGCUGACUUUAAGUCAGCCGCAGUGAAUAGGCCCAAGCAACUGUUUAUCAAAAACACAGCUCUCUGCUAAAUCGUAAGAUGAUGUAUAGGGGGUGACGCCUGCCCGGUGCUGGAAGGUUAAGAGGAGUGCUUAGCGUAAGCGAAGGUAUGAAUUGAAGCCCCAGUAAACGGCGGCCGUAACUAUAACGGUCCUAAGGUAGCGAAAUUCCUUGUCGGGUAAGUUCCGACCCGCACGAAAGGCGUAAUGAUUUGGGCACUGUCUCAACGAGAGACUCGGUGAAAUUUUAGUACCUGUGAAGAUGCAGGUUACCCGCGACAGGACGGAAAGACCCCAUGGAGCUUUACUGCAGUUUGAUAUUGAGUGUCUGUACCACAUGUACAGGAUAGGUAGGAGUCUAAGAGAUCGGGACGCCAGUUUCGAAGGAGACGCUGUUGGGAUACUACCCUUGUGUUAUGGCCACUCUAACCCAGAUAGGUGAUCCCUAUCGGAGACAGUGUCUGACGGGCAGUUUGACUGGGGCGGUCGCCUCCUAAAAGGUAACGGAGGCGCCCAAAGGUUCCCUCAGAAUGGUUGGAAAUCAUUCGCAGAGUGUAAAGGUAUAAGGGAGCUUGACUGCGAGAGCUACAACUCGAGCAGGGACGAAAGUCGGGCUUAGUGAUCCGGUGGUUCCGUAUGGAAGGGCCAUCGCUCAACGGAUAAAAGCUACCCUGGGGAUAACAGGCUUAUCUCCCCCAAGAGUUCACAUCGACGGGGAGGUUUGGCACCUCGAUGUCGGCUCGUCGCAUCCUGGGGCUGUAGUCGGUCCCAAGGGUUGGGCUGUUCGCCCAUUAAAGCGGCACGCGAGCUGGGUUCAGAACGUCGUGAGACAGUUCGGUCCCUAUCCGUCGCGGGCGUAGGAAAUUUGAGAGGAUCUGCUCCUAGUACGAGAGGACCAGAGUGGACUUACCGCUGGUGUACCAGUUGUCUUGCCAAAGGCAUCGCUGGGUAGCUAUGUAGGGAAGGGAUAAACGCUGAAAGCAUCUAAGUGUGAAACCCACCUCAAGAUGAGAUUUCCCAUGAUUAUAUAUCAGUAAGAGCCCUGAGAGAUGAUCAGGUAGAUAGGUUAGAAGUGGAAGUGUGGCGACACAUGUAGCGGACUAAUACUAAUAGCUCGAGGACUUAUCCAAA
rnacentral:rRNA from 2 species